GAUGAACGCUAGCUACAGGCUUAACACAUGCAAGUCGCGGGGCAGCAUGGGGGUUGCUUGCAAUCCCCGAUGGCGACCGGCGCACGGGUGAGUAACGCGUAUCCAACCUGCACUUCACCACGGGAUAACCCGGCGAAAGUCGGACUAAUACCGUAUGUUGUCCAUUGACGGCAUCCGAUUUGGACGAAAGGUUUGGCGGUGAAGGAUGGGGAUGCGUCCGAUUAGCUGGACGGCGGGGUGACGGCCCACCGUGGCGACGAUCGGUAGGGGUUCUGAGAGGAAGGUCCCCCACACUGGAACUGAGACACGGUCCAGACUCCUACGGGAGGCAGCAGUGAGGAAUAUUGGUCAAUGGGCGUAAGCCUGAACCAGCCAAGUAGCGUGCAGGAUGACGGCCCUAUGGGUUGUAAACUGCUUUUAUGCGGGGAUAAAGUGGCCCACGUGUGGGUUUUUGCAGGUACCGCAUGAAUAAGGACCGGCUAAUUCCGUG
rnacentral:rRNA from 1 species